rnacentral:rRNA from 1 species
GAUCAUUAACAAGUUGGGCGAAAGCCCCCUCUGUUUGUCCUCACACCUCUGCGUACCCAACCACGUUGCUUCCGAGGGACAGCCCUCCGGGGCCCGCCUCUCUCUGGCGGAGUCGCCCUCGGGAGGUAUACCAAACUCAUGUUGUUUUGAUUUCUGUCUGAAUGUGAAACUAUAACAGUUAAAACUUUCAACAACGGAUCUCUUGGUUCUCGCAUCGAUGAAGAACGCAGCGAAAUGCGAUAAGUAGUGUGAAUUGCAGAAUUCAGUGAAUCAUCGAAUCUUUGAACGCACAUUGCGCCCUCUGGUAUUCCGGGGGGCAUGCCUGUUCGAGCGUCAUCAAACAAACCUCAAGCUCUUUUUGCUUGGUAUUGGAGGUGGACGGGACAACCGCCCCCUCUCAAAGCGAUCUGGCGGAAAGCCUUGUCGGCCCAGGCGUAGUAAUAAUCUUAUAUCGUUUAGGUCGGCUGUGGUGUUCUUGCCGUACAACCCCCAAUCAACCAAUAGUUUGACCUCGGAUCAGGUAGGGAUACCCGCUGAACUUAAGCAUAUCAAUAAGCGGAGGAAAAGAAACCAACAGGGAUUGCCUUAGUAACUGCGAGUGAAGCGGCAUCAGCUCAAAUUUGAAAUCUGGCGUCUUCGGCGUCCGAGUUGUAAUUUGGAGGGGCAUCUUCGGGGAGGACGCAGGUCUAAGUUCCUUGGAACAGGACGUCAUAGAGGGUGAGAAUCCCGUCAUUGGCUUGCUGCUCCUCUCCAUGUGAAGUGCCUCCGACGAGUCGAGUUGUUUGGGAAUGCAGCUCAAAAUGGGUGGUAAACUUCAUCUAAAGCUAAAUACUGGCGAGAGACCGAUAGCGCACAAGUAGAGUGAUCGAAAGAUGAAAAGCACUUUGAAAAGAGAGUUAAAAAGUACGUGAAAUUGUUGAAAGGGAAGCGCUUGAGACCAGACUCAGCGGGAGGUGAUCAGCGGUGCUUCUGCGCCGUGCACUCGCCUUCUGUUGGGCCAGCAUCGGUUUCGGUGGCGGGAUAAAGGCCAGGGGAACGUGGCUCCUCUCGGGGAGUGUUAUAGCCCCUGGUGCAAUGCCGCCUACCGGGACCGAGGACCGCGCU